GACGAACGCUGGCGGCGUGCUUAACACAUGCAAGUCGAGCGGUAAGGCCUUUCGGGGUACACGAGCGGCGAACGGGUGAGUAACACGUGGGUGACCUGCCCUCCACUUCGGGAUAAGCCUGGGAAACUGGGUCUAAUACGGGAUGGGACCAUUCCAUGCAUGUGGGGUGGUGGAAAGUCGGUGCUGUUGUGGUGCUGGCGGUGGGGGAUGGGCCCGCGGUCUAUCAGCUUGUUGGUGGGGGAUGGCUUACCAAGGCGACGACGGAUAGCCGGCCUGAGA
rnacentral:rRNA from 1 species